rnacentral:rRNA from 1 species
AGCGUACGCUGGCGGCAGGCUUAACACAUGCAAGUCGAGCGGGCAUAGCAAUAUGUCAGCGGCAGACGGGUGAGUAACGCGUGGGAACGUACCUUUUGGUUCGGAACAACUGAGGGAAACUUCAGCUAAUACCGGAUAAGCCCUUACGGGGAAAGAUUUAUCGCCGAGAGAUCGGCACGCGUCUGAUUAGCUAGUUGGUGGGGUAAUGGCUCACCAAAGCGACGAUCAGUAGGUGGUCUGAGAGGAUGAUCAGCCACAUUGGGAGUGAGACACGGCCCAAACUCCUACGGGAGGCAGCAGUGGGGAAUAUUGGACAAUGGGCGCAAGCCUGAUCCAGCCAUGCCGCGUGAGUGAUGAAGGCCCUAGGGUUGUAAAGCUCUUUUGUGCGGGAAGAUAAUGACGGUACCGCGAGAAUAAGCCCCGGCUAACUUCGUGCCAGCAGCCGCCGUAA